rnacentral:rRNA from 1 species
UUGGAGGUGGACGAGGAGGGUGAGGGCAUUGUCGACGCACCAAAAGGAAGAGCGGGCAAUUACAGCAACGUCGAUGACAUCUUACUAUGCAAUACUUGGUUGCAAGUUUCGAGGGAUCCAUCCGUUGGAGGUGAUCAAAGUAGAGAUGCUUAUUGGGGGCGGAUGAAAGAACACUUUGAUGUUCACAACUUGAGUGGAAUUCACCGCUCCGAGAGAUCACUUCGGUCCCGAUGGUCGACAAUCAACUCGGAUUGUCAAAGGUGGGCGGCCUGUCAAAAGGCGGUUGACAAGUUGAACCCAAGUGGCACAAAUGAGGACGAUAAAAACUUGUUCAAAGAAGAGGAGAGGACAACCAAGAAGGGGAAGAUCAAGAAAGGAAGGGUCUUUACCUUGCCCCAUUGCUAUAACGUGUUGAAGGAUGAUGAGAAAUGGAAGAAGCGUGAAGAUUUGGAUGAUUUGCAUUUGAGCAACAAACGCAAGCGAACAAUUAAGUUGGAUGAUGAUGAUGACGAGGAUGAUGCAUCAAGUGAUGACGGCAAGAGAAGCCCCCCACCCAACUCGGUUUCAUACUCGAAGCCAAAGCGACCGGAUGAGUGCAAGAAAGACAAAACCGAAAAGAAGAAGAGGAAAGGAGAUGAUGAGCUCAAAAAUGCUAUGGAAGCUAUUGUGAAGGCAAGAAAAGAAGCCAACGAGGUGAGGAAAAUGGCAAGGAACCAAGAUGCCGUGGCCGAGGAGAGGAGGUUGGCGGCCGAAGAGAGGAGGGUGGCGGCCGAGGAGAGGAAGGUGGCUUUGGGGGAGAGGAAGGUGAGCAAUGAGGAGCGAACUAGAUUGUUGGAAUGGGAGAAGCACUUGUUCUUCUUGGACACAUCUAACCUCAAUGCGGCGCAAAAGGAGUAUGUCAAUCUUGCCCGUGAAGACGUCUUGAUCCAAAAAAGAGCC